UACCUGAAUCCACCUGAGAAUAAAAAGGCAGCUUUCCUGGCACCAGACAGGAGAGAUGCAGGCAACCCAUCUAUUGAGGACACUAUCUGUUAUCAACCACAGGCAGAAAAAUCAUGGACGCCAUGUGAUGGAAAAAAUGUGGGCAGAAAAAGAAGGAAUUGAAGAAGUCCUCUUGAAAAUAGAUCCGGUCCAAGUCAGAGUACUUCAAACUCUCUGCGACUUGGUUGGAGACAAAUACAGCGACGGCCCUCCUCAACAAUCGGGCCAGCAAGAGCUCUUUCCUGAGAGCGGCGUAUUCAUAUCAUUGUUCCGCCUUGCUGCCAUGAGACAUGCUGCAGAGCCCAAAUGUAGGCCUUUAUUUGGACCUCUUUUUUCUACGUGUCAAAAUGCUGUCCCUUUUUGACGCCCUGGAAACAAACCUGCAGGAACACCAAAGCGCAUCCUUAAGCGGAAAAAAGUGGAAGGAAUCCUUAGUAAGUUUUCCCAAACAGAGGGUGUUUUCAGGCCAAAAUUGGGUCACAAUAAUGAAAUAGAAGUUCAAUAUGAGAAAUGUUGAUCCCUUUUCGAUUACAGCAGACUGGAAGCAUAACUGAAUGUUACAUCAUUACAAUUUGUUAUCCACUCCAAACUAGCGUUAUGAUGAGCAAUAUAGUCUGAUGUCCAUCAACUUGAAGUGUGGUUGUGUGUAUUAAUGGUUUUGCGUAAAUGAAGGCAAUAAAAAAGCAUUAAAUGAGGCAUUUAAAAAAGGGAAUAUGAUUGUAGGACAUGGCGGACAGUCAAUAUGUCAAACGGUAAAGGAAAAUGAACUUAAGAAGGUUACAGUCGUUUCUUUUUUGAACUGCAUACAAGAGGUAUUGUAAGGUGGGAACACGACAAAAGCACUGCUUCAAUCAAGCAAAAUGAAACAUCAACUUUUCCAUUCUUUGGUCACUGUAGGCGUGUAGUCCUUAACUGUGACUCCAUGUCAGGAUAAUGGAGAAGCUGAGCCGACACGGAGUCGUUUAUUUCAAU